GUGCAUGUGGUGGAAUUGGCAGACACGCUAGCUUCAAAAGCCGGUAUUGAAAAAUGUGGGGGUUCAAGUCCCUCCAUGCACACCA
rnacentral:tRNA from 1 species